GCCGGAGGCGCCGAGGAAGGUUGCGGUUGCUAAAUCGAUGAAGACAAGGAGAGGGAAAUUGAUGGAAAUCGGUUGCCAGCUGGUUGAUGUGCUCGGGCAGCUGUCUCGCUUCAGGAGUUGUCACUAGGGUGGAAAGAUGGGAUUGCCCUUACCACUGGAGAUUCUUUACGUCAUUUGUGUAUUUUGGAUAUACUCUUAAAUAAUAGAGAAAAGUGUAUGUUUUUUUGUAUAGAAUUUUG
rnacentral:misc_RNA from 1 species